CAUGUAUCUGGUGUUGUUUUGUAGAAGUUGUGUUCCAAGAUAUGAUAUUGUACUAGAUGCUCCAAUAUAUUCGAUUUAAGCACCUGUAGCUCCAAGAAACGUUGAUCUGAGGGCGAAGGGAGGCAGAGGAAUAGUGGGAAAUUAAAUGAUAUUAACGGAAGAUUCAUAUGCGAUUUGAUGCAGUUCAAAGACUCUUAAUGUGAUAGAAUCUUACAGUCCUGCUACAAAGGGAAAUCCCUUUUGGUGGUUUUCAGGGGGCUACCGCUGCAAACCAAAGAUGAUAUCAGUCAUAGACUUCACCAGCUCUGGAUCCUCGUUGUAGCUCUCAUAGCAUCGCCCCCAUCGAGGAUCUCGGCAAACUUGUUCAUAACCACAUAUUAAGAAACCUUAAGCAAGCUAGAAUGUUACUAUUUGAAGCAUAUCCAAUCCUGGAUCUUACAGCAACACAUGGAGAGAAUGCAUAAGAAAUUCCCGUAGCUCGAACUUCCAAAGCUGUGGCAGCACCAAUUCUUCUCACCAGCUCAGGAUCUCUUCACGAACCAAACAAAAAUGUAAGAGGAAUCGCAUAUAAAAAGACUACUACAAAUUCAAAAUCUAUCAAUGACCCAUUCAAAUCCCAGGUGAAAGAAAAAUGCCUUUCCUCAAAUUGGAAUGCAUAUGGCACUCUCACAUAGGCAAAUUGAAUGACUCUUGAACUUCAAUGCGUUAAUUCUCCACUUGGAUGCGUUAAAUGUCAUGCGUUUGAAACUGUCAGAAAUAUGAAUGACUCUUGAAUUUCAA